ensembl:lncRNA
UACCUGGGAGGCAGGGUUUACACUGAUGGGCCAUUAAGUAUAAUCUAAGCUUACAGGCAACAUUCCUUUAGUGAUUAACUUGUAGUAGAAUACAAAGGUUCUUCCCUAUUAUACAAGUUUGCUGCUAACUAGUUAUUUAACUUUGGAUAGUUACUUGAUUCAUUGACUCCUGACUUUCUCAGUCAUGCAUUGUUUUCAUUCAAUACAGAUUUCUUAAAUUAUGUGCAAAUAUUUAGAGCCAAAGGAUCUCAUAAAUAAAGUGGUUCAAAGGUUCACACUUUCAGCUUGAAAAGACACAGAGGAUCUCAUGCACUUGAGGUCAAUGAGGAGACUGCACCCUUGGCCUGCCUUGUGCCUGGUGAAAGUGAAACUGUUAGUCGUUCAGUCAUGUCUGACUCUGCAACUCCAUGGACUGUAGCCCACCAGGCUCCUCUGUCCAUGGAAUUCUCCAGGUCACAGGAUCCUCCCCUGCAGAAGGAGGGGUGAGCUUCACGAUGUUGGGCCCCAUGUCCUGCUUCCACACAAGAAACACUCUGAACUGACCUACAUGGACAGCUGCAACAACAAAGGAGUUGGACAUCAACAAACCAUGCCCUUCCCUCACCUUGCCU